GUGGAGGGAAGCUCAGUGCUGAGGCUACAGACAGAGUGUAGGGGUCACUCUAUGUGCCUCAGGGAAGGUCUGAGACUGGAGCUCCUAGUUGCCCCUGCAGGGCAUCCCUUGGAUGAAGGGGGUGGGUCCCCAGAGAACUUGGCUCUGAUUGCCCAGUGAGUGCAAAAGAUGCAGCAAGUACCCAAUGUUGUGCUUCUGCAGAUGCAAAGGCAUCAGGCUUGGCACUGCCCCACAGCUGGCACAUUCAAGCCCAAUGGCUGAGAGGGAACUGCCUGUGGUUUCCCAACCCAAUUCAGACUACUCUCCCUCCAC
rnacentral:RNase_P_RNA from 1 species